rnacentral:lncRNA from 1 species
AUGGCAGGGAACACAAGGCUGAUUCCAUCCUGCUGGAGGUUCUGGAGUUCUGGAGGUCACCCUGCUCUGGAGUCCACCGCACAUAUAUCCAGGAGCAGCACCCUGCCGGUGGGGAGGAAACGCGGGGGAUGCCCGGUCCCGGCCAGCGCCUCUCCCAGCCCGGUCGCUUGGUGCCAUCUAGUGACCGCCGCGAGGGACCGAGCGGCUCGGAUCGGCUUGGCACGGCUCGUCAAUACACGGCACUGCUCGCCUUGGCUCGGCAGCAUAGGCACAAGCAUUGCCUACAGACUAGGUGGCGGGGGAGGAAGGCAAAACAGCCCAGCACCGCGUUCAGCUACUAGGAGUCCUUUCUCUGCAUGUCUGACACUGGAACAAAAGAGGCUGCCGUCCCUCCUCCCAGCCAUGGCUGACAACCUAUGACAGACUAUCUGGCAAGCUGCAGAUCCAUUACGGGCUUACUGGGAAGGCUCAGGAGACAUCUAUGAUGCCACUUUCAGGCAGGGCCCUACACCUGCUAAAAGGAUGGAUAAUUCCCAAUCGGGAUCCUUGGUGAAAUGCCCUCCUGGGGCUUCUGUAUGUUUUAUUUAGUAUUUUCAUGUCAAGUUGCUCAAAUGACUGUACAAGGACAUGAAGCAUGUCUCUAUCUCUUGAGGGACACAUCUCCUGAUAUUACCAUUCAAAGCCCAUCAAGCUGUCCUGUCUUUCAAACAUAGCUCAUCUCUCAGCUGGUGAUGAAGGGUAACCUCUUUUGGCACUUUUUUCAUCUGAUCUGGACAACCCUGGAAUACGCAUGAGUUAACUUCCUGCAGCUCUGCAUCCUGAUUGACACUUGGAUGCAUCAACUGGAUCCUCCCCUCAAGAUAUGAAGACCUUGUCAUGUGUUGACAGACCUAAUUGUUCCACAGAGUAUCUUGAGUUUUACUCUGAAAGAACUGCUUUUCCUUGGCCAGCACAAUUAACAUGUGCGAUGGCUUUUCUGGCUAAAACUCUGACUAAUAUUCAAAGUUUUUCUCACCUGAGAAGUCAGGCAAGUGCAACAAAAUAGCUAAACAAAACAACUGCAAAGUAAUAUUAGUCUAUUAGUUCUCCAAGUUUUUUUUGUUGUUGUUGUUAUUACUAUUUUAAGGGUCUUCAAGCUUGCCACUGAGGAUUCAGAAGGAUAAGUCAAGUAUCUAGGCCUAAGUUUCCAGAAGUAUCUCUAGUUUUGAUUUGCUUGAUUUUUAGAUAGUCCUGUACUAUUAGGCUUUGAUAAGGCUUUGACCACCACUGGAUUCAAUGGAAAGAAGACUUAGGUCAAAAACAGUAACCAUCACAGAUGGCUAAGAUAUCCAUGCUUCCAAUUACCUCAGCACUAAACUAUGCUGAGACGAAUUGCAAAAAGCAUUUAAACACCCUAAAAUAUGCAGUUGCAACAAAUAAACCCACUUAAAACCCACUCUGCCCA